rnacentral:lncRNA from 1 species
CUGGAACCCAUCCUUGCUCUCCAGGGACCCACAGGGAAGUGGCCUGUGGUUGUCCCAACCCUGCAUCAAGCCCACUUCCCUGGCAGAGGGAGAGGGAAGGAUGCCUUUCCCCUCCUGUGCUCAGGCAGAAAGUGGUGUGUGUGCCGUCGACUCAUGUUCACAGAUCCCAUGGCCCAACCUGGUCCCACAGCCUCCACUGCAAAGCUUGGGGUUCACCACCUGCCCAGGUGACAUCAAGUGUGAAUGACAUCUUCGCUGGGUAGAAAAAUGGCACUGUGCCAAGUGAGGAAGCGAGUCCCUGCCUGCCAGAAACACCAAUGGAGGGUUAGCAGGCAGAGCCGGGGGUGUCCACAGCUGCUGCAGAAUGUCCCGAGGCGUCAGGCACCACUGUACAAGUGAACAGUGCACUUUUAAAAAGCUGAGACUCCUCUCCUGUCCUAAAGCAUGACAGACACUGGUGUCUGUCCCUGUGACCCUGUGUCCCCACAGUCCACCGCAAACAGAAUCCUCUCAGACACAACACACGCCGACCAGCAUGAAGUCACCCAGAUGACGGGGAGGAAGAGGGACUGAAGUGUCCCCUCCCCAGCAGGAGUGAGCAGGCUGUGCCUCUACCUUGGAAAUCACUGAACAGCUGUGAAACACGUUUUUGAUGAUUAUAGGUGAAAAUUCAAAGUCCAAGGUCGAAGGACUUGCAGAGGAGCAGGUCAUGGAGGUGGCCUCAGCAGCUUGGUGACUGAGCUGGUCCUCAGCAUAAACUUGCAUCUAAAUCGUAAACGACGGUUACUUCACUGGAAAUCAAAGUCACCGAGAGUGAGAGGGAAAAAGCCUUGCCCAAGAAGCACAAGGUCAGAAACAGAGGGACCAGGGCAGAGCGUGCCACAGCCAGGCCUUGGCCAUCUGCUGGAGGGGCCUUGCACUCCCACACUGGUGCCAGCCUGCUCACCCC